UACGUAGGGGGCAAGCGUUGUCCGGAAUCAUUGGGCGUAAAGAGCGUGUAGGCGGUCCGGUCAGUCGGUUGUGAAAGUCAAGGGCUCAACCCUUGAAUGCCGGCCGAUACUGCCGGGCCUAGAGUCCGGAAGAGGUGAGUGGAAUUCCUGGUGUAGCGGUGAAAUGCGCAGAGUAUCAGGAGGAACACCGGUGGCGAAGGCGGGUCUCUGGGCCGAUACUGACGCUGAGGAGCGAAGCGUGGG
rnacentral:rRNA from 1 species